rnacentral:lncRNA from 1 species
AGAUUUAGAUAUAGAUUGUAAAGAUUUUAGUAUGCAUUGUUAUAUAAUUAGUUGAACACUAGUUGGAAGAAUGUCGAUCGUUCAUGUUUCUAAUACAAAGUCAUAUAUGGUAUCACCAGUGUGUUCGAUCCCCUAUUAUCUAUCUAUAUACGUGCAUGCAACAAUAUCUUAAUGUGAUUUUUAUUAUUCUACACCCUGCACCAAUAUUAUUACGGAUCCACCCAUCAGCAUCCGCUUUAACUCAUCGAUGAAAAGAAACACAUACUUGAAUAGCAAGAAUAAAUCAAAAAACCCA